GAGAUCUAUCCAGUUUGGUCAAAAGGGCAUUCCAUACCUGAACACCUACGAUGGUCGCACCAUCCGUUACCCCGACCCGCUUAUCAAGCCUAACGACACCAUCAAGCUCGACCUGGAGGAGAACAAGAUCGUGGAGUUCAUCAAGUUUGAUGUGGGAAAUGUUGUGAUGGUGACUGGAGGAAGAAACAGAGGGCGUGUUGGUGUGAUCAAGAACCGUGAGAAACACAAGGGAAGCUUUGAGACCAUUCAUAUUCAGGACUCGACGGGACAUGAAUUCGCCACGAGGUUAGGGAAUGUGUUCACUAUUGGGAAAGGGACAAAGCCAUGGGUGUCUCUUCCAAAGGGAAAAGGUAUUAAGCUUACCAUCAUUGAGGAAGCUAGGAAGAGGCUUUCUGCUCAACAAGCCGCUUAAACUGUUUUUUCCUCGGUUUCAGAAGACUGUUGUUUUUUGCAUCGUUUUAUUUCUCAUACUUAUGCCUUUAGAAUUCCUUUUUUUUUGUCGACUAUUUAAGCUUGUGAUAUUUUUUUCAAAAUAGAAAAUGAUGCUCUUGAUAUUUCCUGGUCCACUUACGUCUUAUGAAGCUUCCAAAUCUUUUUUCAAGCUAUCUGCUAGUAAUACAAAAUACCUUCGACCAAGAAAAAACAAACAGGCCUUAAGUUUUUAUGUAUGUGAAUUAGUCUCAAAUUCCUCUCUCUCCUGUGGCUUCUCUCGGGGGUUUCGGAUUCCACUAUAAGCGAGGUCGGUGAUUUUUAUUGAACCGUGUCAAUCUCUCCGAUGGUUUCGUUUUCCCAAAUUCGAAUGGGAUCUGAUUUUUUUUUUUUUUUUUUUUAGGUUAAAGAAAGAAUAAAAAAAAACCAAAACGAGCGAAAUGAUGCGGAACAUGGCGAGGCUGAGGAAAACGUUUGUGUGGUGGGACAUCAAGAGCUGUCCGAUUCCAGCUGGUUUCGAUCCUUGUCUGGUCGGUCGGAGAAUAGAAUCGGCGUUGAAGAAAUCAGGCUACUCUGAUCCUGUCACCAUCACUGCCGUCGGCGACCUAAGAGAGGGAAAGGGCCCUGGUGAAGACGUCCUGCGCAAGCUUUCUUCCAGUGGAAUCGCUCUUAACCAUGCCAGUGGUUAGUCUUAGUUCAUCUCUAAUUUCCAUCUCUAAAAUUCUGCUAAUUUAUAUUUUUAAUACAAGUAUAAAUGGAUUUCCCCCUUAAUUAGGGUUUAUGUUCAACGUUGCUACUUGAUGCCUUCCUUUUACUGAAACAGUACCUACAUCGAUGAAUACGACCUGGAAGGAUCCAUCUCCGCGUACUCUAAUGCUCAUAUUUGGUGGUCCUGAGGAACUGGAAUAUUUACCUCGUACACUUCGGUAUGAAUGACUACGGAUUCAGAAUUCUUCUGGCAUAUCAUCAACGAGAUCCAGCCUGGCACUCGGAAAGCUUUCUAAGUAACGUUCGUAAAGAGUGGCUCUGGAAAAGCUUACUUUCAGGUGUUCGUUUUUUUCCACUCUCAUUCUCACACUGUGUGUGUGAUCUCUCUCGUUUGAAAUAUAUGUAACCAACCAGCAAAAGCUGUUUGUUUCUGAGCUAGUUAGUUUUUUUUUCUUCUUCUACGUACAGAUGAUGAUAUGGAUUCAAGGUCUGCGGACAAUGAAGACAAGACAACAAGUAUUGUUCUUCAGGACAAGUACUCUGAAACUGGUGAAUCUCCCUGGUAUUGCGACGUAUGCUCGUUGGCUUGCAAAAGCUUUGAAGAUUUUACCACGCAUCUCAAGAGUGGAACACAUGGAUUUUCUGUAACCCUCUCUCUCUCUGCUUCUAAAUAUUUGUAUCGAUACAUUUUUUCAUUAAUUAAUUAAUGUCUUACCAAAUGCAUGUUUCCCUUUCAAAGAAGAAAUUGCACUGAUGUGCAUUUGGUUGUUGUCAAGCAGGAGUGGGACCGGUGGGCAAGUAAAAACCUUGUGGAUCGUCGUUUCCCUUCUAACUUUGAAUGGGGUCGAUCAAAGGCAAGUUUCUUCAUUAUAUCUCUCAAGUAAUUAGAUUUACUAGAAGACCCCUUUCACAACUUUACAUUAUUGUGUCAUUGCCAUACAUGUUUCCCUUUUAAAGAAUCGAUCUAUAUAUACCUCUGAUUUCCGCUUUGAUGUGCGUUUGGUUGUCAAGCAGGAGUGGGACCGGCUCAAUUGUCUAGACCUGAUGGAUUGUGUUAGUCAUAUUCCGUAUGACCCUCUAGAUUAUCCCGAGGUGGAGAGUCCAUCAAAGGCAAGUUUCUCAUGACAUACCUAAUCGUAGAUAGCUUGGUUUUGGAUUUACUGACUUUGGUUGAUGCUCUAAACAAUUCAAGGAACAAGAGUGCAAGAGUGCAACAUUCAAGGUAAGCCUCUCUCUCUCUCUCUCUCUCUCUCUCUGCUUGCUUCUAAAUAUUGUAUCGAUACAUUUUUCAUUAAUUACAGUCUUACCACAUGCAUCUUUCCCUUUCAAAGAAAAAUUGCCCUGAUGUGCAUUUGGUUGUUUUGAGCAGGAGUGGGACUUAUGGGCUAAUCAAAACAAUGUGGAUCGUUGUAACCCUGCUAACUUUGAAUGGGGUCGAUUAAAGGCAAGUUUUUUAAAUUUCUCUCAAGGUUGAUCAGAUUUAUCGUUUUUUUUUUGAAAUUUACCGUUGCGUUUAACUAGAAGACCCCUUUCACAGCUUACCUUAUUGUGUCAUUGUCACAUGUUUCCCUUUCAAAGAAUCUAUACCUCUGAUUUCCGCUUGAUGUUGCAUUUGGUUUUCAAGCAGGAGUGGGACCGGCUCAACUGUCAAGACCUGUUGGAACGUAUUCGUCUUCGGUAUUACCCUCUAGACACUACCCAGGUGGAGAGUCCAUCACAGGCAAGUUUCUGAGAUACCUAAUCUUUUUAGUAUUAUUCACCAUUGAGUUCCAGCUAGAUGUGAAUGUAGAUAGCUUGUUUUUGGAUUUUACUGACUUUGGUUGAUGCUCUAAAACAUUCAAGGAACAAGAGUGCAGCAGUAGCAAGACUGAAGAAGAAGCUGAAGUAGAGGACCCGAAUUGCUCAUCUAGAGGAUGACACUGAAAUAGGCGAUGAAGAUGAGUACAUGGCUCAUGAAUAUGGUUAAUGGUUAAUGGUUUGUUCUACUUGUAGUGGGAACAAACAGAAGAAAUGUAGUUCCAAUAUAGGUAAUAAAAACCUGAAAUUUAUACAUUUGUAAGAUUUCUCGUCUGCUUUGAACACGUAGUUUGAUCACCUCCCAAAGUCUUGCUAGACAAAUUAACCGCCCUUCUAUCAAGUUCUAACUUCUAACUAUCAUCUAUCAGAUCAAAUACAUCAAAGUUGUUCUUCACAAAGGUGAAGAUGAAGAUUAAGAGUACAUGGCCCAUGGGGUCCCUAACUCUGAGACUGUUGAGAAAUGUACUGGUAACAACAUAAUUACUGUUAGGGCAACAAGAAUCUUGUACAUACUGAUGAGGUUAGGUAUAUUUGAUCCACAGGUUGCACAGGAAGAGGAGAAGUAGUAUGUCCAACGUGCAACGCCGAUGGUGAGCCAGGGUUUUACAAGGAGAAUCAGAUGAUGAAGUGUUCAUCUUGCUAUGGAAGAGGUUUGAUUGCUCAUAAAGAUGGAUCCGACACAAUGUAAGUUCAUAUCAACAACUCAACUUUCACAUUGAUGGUUGCAAACUGUAGCUCCUAUCUAAAGAAAACCUUCUCUUCUCCACAGAUGCGCUGCUUGUAACGGUAAGGGAAAGCUUCCUUGCCCAAUUUGCCAGUCUCGCGGAUUAAUCAAAUGUCAGUCUUGUAACGGUACUGGUUCUCUUCUAACAAGCAGUAUCGCAGUUGUGAGAUGGUAAGUUUUUCUCAAAUGGCUUUGACCAGCAAUUGAAAUUGGCUAUGAGUGGCUAUUGAAAGAUUUGCUUUCUUGACAGGAAGACUUUCUCGAAGCGAAAGGUGAGUGCAACAAGAGGAGCUGGUUUGGUACCAGAAGAGAUAUUUCACAGAGCAGAAGGAGUUUCAGCCAGCUUACUUUGCAGACUCAUAUUUCCUCAACAAAUUCUCCUCAGAGGUCAUCUCGUUGAGAGCUGAAGUUCCACCAACGGCGAAUGUGGUCUGCGAGAUACACACCAGAUCUGUUGUGCCGUGGGAAAGCCUUCAGCUUUUACAUAAUCGGUUUUGGUAAAGAGAUUUACAUGAAAGAUUAUUAUCCAGCAAGGUUCUGCUGGGGUUUGUGUCCUUGUCUUUAGUGGUUAAAGGUUUGAAAACCAGAGUUGAUUUUUGAUCAUCUCGACUUGUUAGUACAGAAACUGAGAGAGAGAGAGAUUGCUUGUAUACAGAGCGGUUAUUGUGUUGUGUAUAUAAUAUUGUGGCCAAAUACUUAAUUAAAUCUGGAACUUGAGAGUUUAAAGAAAGCACACAAAUUUCUCCAACUUACUAAUAUGUCAUUGUAUUUAAAGAAACUUACUAGCUUUAGUUUAAUAUUUGAAAUUCAAAUACUAAUAUCUUAUUGUAUUUUUUAAUUAUAUUCAUUCAUACUAAAAUUUCACAUACUAGAUUUUUGUUUUUUGGGUUUUUAAUGUUAUGCUUGAUCUACACAUAGGAUGAGGAAUCCACAUAGGAAGGUAAAAUACUCGAAAAUGAUGAUUAUCCAAAAAAGUUGAAAAUAUUUGAUAGGAUUCAUUUUUUAUAUUUUCUAGUAAGUGUAAGGAAAAAUGCGCUAAAUUUCAUUUUAGUAGCAGUUUUACAUAUUUAUUCUCAAAUACAUGAUCGAAUCAUUGUGAAUCUUUAAAAUUUUAUCAGUGAUCAUGUUUUAUUCUACAUAAAAGAUUAAAACUCUAAUUUAAAGUCAUAUCUGAUCUCAUCACUUCAUAGUUUAGGCAAAGAUAAAUUUGGUCUGUUUGUAUAAGAUUAUAGCUACUUACAUGGAAACAGUAAAGUUUUAUUUCUUAACGUAAAAUGCAAUUACAAGAAGAAAACAUAGAAACUUUAGUUUCAUAUGAAAUCUCUUGUGUUUAUUGAAAAUUUGGUGAAUAAUUAAGUUAUGUCUUGAAGAAAAAACUAAAAGCUGCUAGAAUAUGUAUAAAAUGAUAUUUAAACUUAAACAUAUCAUCUUCACUUUACAAGUAAUGAAGUAAACAAGUGAAAACUUUUAUUCUUAAACACGUGACAACUUUCUCCCAAAUCGUUUGAAAAGAUGUGUCAUGAGAAUUGCCCAAAAUCUGCAUUUUUGUGUUUUCUUAAUAAAUAUCCAUAUAGUUUUAGUGGAAAACAGAACUUUGAUUAUGUUGAUAUAUAUGUUGAAAUCUCAUAAUUUCUUAAUAAAUGGUUGUAUAUUCGGCUUGGAUUGAAUCCACUAUGAUCGGUUUCGAAUUGAAUUUAGUUUCAAAUUUUAAAAUUUUUAAUCAGUACACCAAUAGGUUCAUAUACACAAUUUACGUCGGCUUUGGUUUAAAUAUUUUAGUGCGUCGGAGUUGUAUUUUUAGUUAAGGUUUUUUCAGACUCAUGUAUUAAUGGUUCAAAGUGGGUUAAAUUGUCCUAACCAGCUACCUGCCUUGAUUUGAAUAUAAACUUUGAAUUUUUGGUUAUCUUGCUUAAUGUGAAUCCACUAAAAUCGGUUUCAAAUUGAGUUUAUUUUUGAAUUUUUGGAUUUUUUAAUCAACGACACUAAUAGUUUCAUAAAAAAAUACCACGACCACUAAUCGUGGAAUGUGAAGAUCUUUAAACAUAGAACCAAGUACCAACAUAUAAAUAAUCAAAAGAUUCGAUGAAAAAAUGAGACUCUAAAGACUUUGGAAUAGAAAAGUACAUGCUUAACUUUAGAUUUUUUUUUUUUUGGUUAUUUAAUGUUAUGCUUGAUCAUACAUCCAAAUCUACUGAGGAUUCCUCAUCCUAGGAAGGUGAAAUACUCGAAAAUGAUGAUUAUCCAAAAAAGUUGAAAAAUACCUGAUAGGAUUCAUUUUAAAUUUUCUAGUAAGUGUAAGCAAAAAUGCACUAAAGUUCAUUUUAGUAGCAAUUCUACAUAUUUAUUCUCAAAUACAAGAUCAAAUCAUUGUGAAUCUUUAAAAUUUUAUCAGUGAUCAUGUUUUAUACUACAUAAAAGAUUAAAACUCUAAUUCAAAGUCAUAUCUCAUCUCAUCACUUCAUAGUUUAGGCAAAGAUAAAUUUGGUCUGUUUGUAUAAGAUUAUAGCUACUUAUAUGGAAACAGUAAAGUUUUAUUUCUUAACGUAAAAUGCAAUUACAAGAAGAAAACAUAAAAACUUUAGUUUCAUAUGAAAUAUGUUGUGUUUAUUGAAAAUUUGGUGAAUAAUUAAGUUAUGUCUUGAAGAAAAAACUAAAAGCUGCUAGAGUAUGUAUAGAAUGAUAUUUAAACUUAAACAUAUCAUUUUCACCAUACAAGGAAUGAAGUAAACAAGUGAAAACUUUUAUUCUUAAACACGUGAUAACUUUCUCCCAAAUCGUUUGAAAAAAUAUGUCAUGAGAUUGCCUAAAAUCUGCAUUUUUGUGUUUUCUUAAUAAAUAUCCAUAUAUUUUUAGUGGAAAACAGAACUUUGAUUAUGUUGAUAUAUAAAAGCUUAAUUUUCUACUUACCUAUAUCAAAGAUUGAUUUUUUUUUUGUUGAAAACCUAGUUUUGAUUUUGUAGAUGAAAAAACUUUGGAAGGCUUGUUUUUUUCUUAAAUCUACUGAAGACUUGGCACAUACACUAAUUCGACCAAAACUUUGGAUGAGAAAUUAUUUGAAGCUAACUUUGGAGAAACAAAUUUCCAACUAUCAGUUGGACAAUUUUCAUUAAUUUCUAUUUAAACUUCUCUUAAACAAAUUUUUAAAAACCAUCAUUAACCAAAACAACACCAGUUUAUUUUACUUUUUUUUCGACACCAUUUUAUUUUACUUUAAAAUGAUAAAAUUCAUAAAUUGAUGUGUAAAUCCUUAAAUCAUGUUUUUCUCGAAAUCAAAAAUAGUCUUACUCCAAGUUCUUCUUCAUUCUCUUUUUAAAUUCCAAAUUUAUGUCAUAGUAAACCUGCAGACUUCAGAGGUGUUUUCUAUAUUAAAUUUCAUAUUAUAAAGGUGAAGAUGAAUAAGAGAAUCAGAAUUAGAAAAUCGAUUUGAAGGUUUCUCGAUUUUCAGCUAAAAGUGAGAGAUCGAUGUGCAGAAAAAUUGAUUUGGGGCUAUAUUCGAUUUAGGUUUAAAUUGGGGAUUUUUGAUUAUAAUCAAAAUGGUGUUUUUUUUGGUUGAAUAACGAUUUUAUCUGGAAUUUAAUGCUAUCUAAUGGAUAUGUUAAGCUAGUUUAGGAUGAGUUUAUAUUGGCAUGAUUAACAAAAGUAAGAAACUCAUGUGUCUUGAAAAGAGUUUAUAAUUUAUUAGGCUGAAAUGUUUUACAUUGAGGGUUUUUUAUAACGAAGCCCAAAAAAGCAAAGAAAAGCCCAAAAUUAUAAAAAAAAAACAUUGAGGGUUUUUUUAGCAAUUUUUCAAAAUUAGUUCCUCUCUCCCCCGCCGCUUCUCUCUGGGUUUCGGAUCCCACUAUAUAUAAGCGAGGUCGGUGAUUUUUAUUUAACCGUGUCAAUCUCUCCGAUGUUUAUCUGAUGUUUACGUUCUAGAUCGGUAGCUGCGAUUUCGUUUUCCCAAAUUUGAAUCGGAUCUGAUUUUUUUUUAGGUUGAAGAAGAAUAUAAAAAAACAAAUAGGAGCGAAAUGAUGCGGAACAUGGCGAUGCUGAGGAGAACUUUUGUGUGGUGGAACAUCGACAGCUGUCCGAUUCCAGCUGGUUUCGAUCCUUGUCUGGUCAGUCCGAGGAUUGAAUCGGCGUUGAAGAAAUCAGGCUACUCUGAUCCUGUCACCAUCACUGCCGUCGGCGACCUAAGAGAGGGAAAGGGCCCUGGUGAAGACGUCCUGCGCAAGCUUUCUUCCGGUGGAAUCGCUCUUAAACAUACCAAAGGUUAGUCUUAUUUCCAUCUCUAAUUCUAUAAUUAUAUUUAAUACAAGUAUAAAUGGAUUUCCUCCGUAAUUAGGGUUUAUGUGCUAAGUGAUGCUUUCCUUUACUGAACCAGUACCUACAUCGAUGUUGCAACUGAGGUGGAAGGGUCCAUCUCCGCGUACUCUAAUGCUCAUAUUUGGUGGUCCUGAGGAACUGGAAUAUUUACCUCGUACACUUCGGUAUGAAUGACUACGGAUUCAGAAUUCUUCUGGCAUAUCAUCAACGAGAUCCAGCCUGGCACUCGGAAAGCUUUCUAAGUAACGUUCGUAAAGAGUGGCUCUGGAAAAGCUUACUUUCAGGUGUUCGUUUUUUUCCACUCUCAUUCUCACACUGUGUGUGUGAUCUCUCUCGUUUGAAAUAUAUGUAACCAACCAGCAAAAGCUGUUUGUUUCUGAGCUAGUUAGUUUUUUUUUCUUCUUCUACGUACAGAUGAUGAUAUGGAUUCAAGGUCUGCGGACAAUGAAGACAAGACAACAAGUAUUGUUCUUCAGGACAAGUACUCUGAAACUGGUGAAUCUCCCUGGUAUUGCGACGUAUGCUCGUUGGCUUGCAAAAGCUUUGAAGAUUUUACCACGCAUCUCAAGAGUGGAACACAUGGAUUUUCUGUAACCCUCUCUCUCUCUGCUUCUAAAUAUUUGUAUCGAUACAUUUUUUCAUUAAUUAAUUAAUGUCUUACCAAAUGCAUGUUUCCCUUUCAAAGAAGAAAUUGCACUGAUGUGCAUUUGGUUGUUGUCAAGCAGGAGUGGGACCGGUGGGCAAGUAAAAACCUUGUGGAUCGUCGUUUCCCUUCUAACUUUGAAUGGGGUCGAUCAAAGGCAAGUUUCUUCAUUAUAUCUCUCAAGUAAUUAGAUUUACUAGAAGACCCCUUUCACAACUUUACAUUAUUGUGUCAUUGCCAUACAUGUUUCCCUUUUAAAGCAGGAGUGGGACCGGCUCAAUUGUCUAGACCUGAUGGAUUGUGUUAGACAUAUUCCGUAUGAACCUCUAGAUUAUCCCGAGGUGGAGAUUCCAGCAAAGGCAAGUUUCUCAUGAGAUACCUAAUCUUUUUAGUAUUAUUCACCAUCGAGUUCCAGCUAUAUGUGAACGUAGAUAGCUUUACUGACUUUGGAUUUACUGACUUUGGUUGAUGCUCUAAAAACAUUCAAGGAUCUGUGCAAAUGUGCAACACUCAAGGUAAGCCAAUCCUCUCUCUCUCUCUCUCUUUCUCUCUCUCUCUCUCUCUCUCUCUCUCUCUCUCUCUCUUUCUUUCUUGUAUCGAUAAAUUUUUUUAUUAAUUACAGUCUUGCCACAUGCAUGUUUCCCUUUCAAAGAAAAAUUGCCCUGAUGUGCAUUUGGUUGUCAAGCAGGAGUGGGACGGGAUUUGUCUAGAGACCUUCGAGGUGGAGAGUCCAUCAAAGGCAAGUUUUUCAUGAAAUACCUAAUCUUUUGGAAUUUACCACUGAGUUCCCCAUAUGUGGAAUCGUAGAUAGCUUGGUUUUGGAUUUACUGACUUUGGUUGAUACUCUUAAAACAUUCAAGGAACAAGAGUGCAAGUGUGCAACAUUCAAGGCAAGCCUCUCUCUCUCUCUCUCUGCUUGCUUCUAAAUAUUGUAUCGAUACAUUUUUCAUUAAUUACAGUCUUACCACAUGCAUCUUUCCCUUUCAAAGAGAAAAAUUUCCCUGAUGUGCAUUUGGUUGUUUUCGAGCAGGAGUGGGACUUAUGGGCUAAUAAAAAUAAUGUGGAUCGUUGUAACCCUGCUAACUUUGAAUGGGGUCGAUCAAAGGCAAGUUUUUUAAAUAUCUCUCAAGGUUGAUCAGAUUUAUCGUUUUUUUUUUUGGAAUUUACCGUUGCGUUUAACUAGAAAACCCCUUCACAGCUUACCUUAUUGUGUCAUUGUCACAUGUUUCCCAUUCAAAGAAUCUAUACCUCUGAUUUCCGCUUGAUGUUGCAUUUGGUUGUCAAGCAGGAGUGGGACCGGCUCAAUUGUCAAGACCUGUUGGAACGUAUUCGUCUUCGGUAUUACCCUCUAGAUACUACCGAGGUGGAGAGUCCAUCAAAGGCAAGUUCCUGAGAUACCUAAUCUUUUUAGUAUUAUUCACCAUUGAGUUCCAGCUAGAUGUGGAUGUAGAUAGCUUGUUUUUGGAUUUACUGACUUUGGUUGAUGUUCUAAAAUAUUCAAGGAACAAGAGUGCAACAGUAGGAAGACUGAAGUGGAGGAGGGACUCCGAAUGCUCAUCUAGAGGAGGACUGAAAUAGACGAAGAAGAAGAAGAAGAAGAAGAAGAAGAGUACAUGGCCCAUGGGGUGGUGGUGUUAUUAUGCUUUUUUCUAGUCUCGUUUUUCAUUUUAAGUUAACUGAUACCUUUUUUUAUCAACAUCCUAUUAAACUCAUUCUCGACACCAUGUUUUGGUGAUCGGAUAUUUGAUUAAUAAUAGUAUGUUCGAUACCGUCGAUUAGGGUUUUCAUAGGUCGUCAAUUGAUUAAUAAUGCGACGAAUACGUUCGAUUAGGGUUUUCAUUGGUCGUCAAUUGAUUAAUAAUGAAGUUGUGAUAGUAAAAACUAACGUUAGAGGUACACGCAUCAAAGUUUGAAUGUUCGCGGUACUGCGUUCGAAGAUAAUGUUUUAUUGAUUUCUGAAUGUUCGACAAUAAAUAAUUUCGCGGUAAUCCUCUUAAGUUAUAUUGAUUUUAAUAGGAUAAGAUAGGAUUAUUUUAUUAUGAGAGUUUUCUUAAUUUUUUUUUUUAAAUUCUGUUUCAUAAAAAAUGUUGUUUUGAUUUUUUUUUGUCUUAAAAAGAGUAUCAUUCUAUAUUUUUAAUAUAAGUUUUUAUUAUUACUAAAUUUUACGUCCACACUACACGUGAAUAUUUUGUUAAUAAAAAUUAUAUGCAAUUAAUUAUAUUUAUUAAGAUUAAAUUAUAUAUAUUAAUGUUUUAAUCAUAUAUUAAAAUAUUAUAGUGUUGAUCAAAUAAUUUUUAUGUAAAUUGUGAUGUUUUAACGGUUUUGUUUUGGUCAAACAUUUAUAAAUUAAUAUACUAACACCAACUAAAUUUUUUACAAAUUAAUCAAAUGUUAUUUUUUACACAGUGUUAACAUGAUAAUAAAAUAUUAUACAUUCAUUUCUUUAAAUUAAGAAGAUAUUUUUUCCAUUAUUUUCACUUUUAUUUUAAUUAUAUAUAUGUUCUUUAAAAAUAAAAUUUAAAAUUUAAUCUUUUUUUCUCUUGUUUAAAAUUUUUUAGAUAUAUUAAUUUAAAAAAUAAACUAAUAAAUAAAAUAUUUGCUUUGAGAUUAUUAACAAUUUUAAAUUUGAUACCAAAACAAUAAUUGAAUAUGAAAUGAAUAAAAUCACACAAAAUUUGUGAAUGAAUAUAAUUAUGUCAAUUGGUAGUGUAAACUUUUAAAUAAUUUUCAAUGAUUAUAUGUCAUCUCUUCUAAUAAGAAUGAAAUUGUUUUUUCAUCUUCUUCAUUUUUAUUCUUGUUAUAUCUGUUUUUUCAAUGAAUUUAUUAUAUUUAUUUAUUUUAAUAAUUUUUGUAUGAUUAUAUUUAGUUUCAUCAUAUUCAUUCUAACUUCUAAUUGUAAUUAAGUAGACAAAACCAGUACAUACAAAUUUAUAAAAAUAAAACAAAUCAAACAACUCAAAACUAAGAACUCAUACAUUAAUAUAUUGAAUUCCAAAUUGAAUAUAUAAAAUUUAUUUUUUGAUAAUUUUUGGAAAAAUAAAUUACAUGAGAAAAAAAUAUUACAUAUUUCGAUAAUAUGUUUUGCAUAUGUGAAAAAAUUAGAAGAAUAUAAAUCAUAAGUUUUAGUUAUUUAAAAUUCUACAUGAAAACCUUUAAAAUCAAGUAACUUAAACUUGUAUAAGUAGCAUAUCUUUUUUAUAGAUAAUAAAUAAAAUUUGUGAUUUAAACAUUAGUAAUGGAGAUUUUAAUAUUAUGUUGUUUUUUUUUAUAAUAGAGAUUCCUUUAUUUUUUUCAUAUGUUUUUUUAAUCAUAAUAAUAGAAUUAUAAAACUUUUAAAUUUAUAAUUUUAAUAUAUACGAAUAAAAAUGAAUUUUUAAAUGCUGAUGUGGAUGCUUUGAAAAUAAUAUAGCUUUAGCUAUCAUUAAUAAUAGAAUAAUUUUAAUUAACAAUUUUUCUUAUAUUAUUUAGUAUUAAUAAUAUAAUUUUAUAAUUUAGAAAAAAUUUAAUUUUAGUUAUUGAUGUGGAAUAAUAAAAUUAACCUUUUAAAUCUUAUGUGGAUGUCUUUAGAGGCAUAUAGCUUUAACUUUUAUUUUUCUUUAAAUAUAUUUGUUUGUUAACAAUAUAAUUUUAAAAUUUAAAAAUUCCCUAAAUUUUAAAUAUUGAUGUGGACCAAUAAAAUUAAACUUUUAAACCAUAUAUGGACAUUCUUAGAGACAUAUAGUUUUAAAUUUUAUUAGUAAUUAGAAAUCAAAACUGGAAAAUCGCACAAGAGGCCUCUUGCAGCAAGUGAUUUUAGCCUUUUCUCUUUGUUUCAAGGCUUACCGAAUGUAUUCAGAUGCUGCUUGGUCAGCUAAUUGUUACUUUUGUGGUUCAUAUUGGGUUGUUAAAACUCAUUCAGAUGUUAUGUCAUUUCAAAAAUUUUCCUUAGAUACCUCAGUCCCCUCCGCUAUGUUCUUUUCUCUAUUUUAGUGCUUGGUUUUUCAAAAGUGUCGAGUAUCAAUCACUUGACAUGUUUUUCGGAUUGCUUGAAAUUUAUCAUUCUUCUCAAAUUUGUGGCCAAAUUUUGGAGAUUUUGCGAUUUCUUUUUCAAUAUUAAAGCGGCUUGUAGUGCUUUUGUUUAUAUCUCCUUUCAUAUUUUUCUAUAAUUUAGCUAAUAAUUAAACAUAUAGUUUAGUCAAGUUUGUUCUUGUAGUAGCAAAGACAAUUGUAGUCCAAGCAUAUGACAUUCAAUGAAUUUGAGCGCAUAAACUCCACAAUCACAUGAGCUCCUAUUGAUCCCAGGCCUCAUCGGAACAUACUUCACUGUGUACGGUUUAAUAACCAGUUGCUUCUUCUCUUUGUAACUUUGAACUUCCUUCACAACUCUAGUGAUGAUGUUUGUGAAUGCAUCCACGUACCGGCUGUGUUUGCCCCCGUCGCAAUCAAAAACUUCCACUGUUCUCAGCUCGAAAUUGAUGCACAAAGAUAUCCAGUGGUUAUUCUUGACAUUGACCGGAGUAUAUAUACGAUCAACGUCGACACCCCAAAUUUUGUCUGUUCUUCCAUGUGCCGGAAGCGCUCCUAAUCCAUAUUGUAUGAGCAACUGGUCCAACUGGUAUAUUCUUUUAUUCAUCAGUAAUUGUUUGUACGCAGCACCAACUGUGACGCUGAAAUUACAGGUCAUGCAGCCAACACGAGGAUGUGGAAAGCGGUCCAAAGAAGUGUACUCUCGAAAUAAGUACAUAAUUCCAUCCAUUUCCUGCAACAUUAACAUUGGUUAACCACAUUGGCAAAGUUGAACACGUUAUGAUUUUUAAGAAAAUCAAUUUUAAAGGUACUUACCGGAGUGCGCAACCACAAUCGUUUAUUCAUGAGACGAUUAGCUACUUCUAUAUUAUACACGAGGGGACCAACUAAUAAGUCUCUGAAAUAAUUUAAAAAUAAGAAUAAUAAUAAAUAAUCAAAUACAUGUAAGUUCAAUAUUUCUCUAAUUUAAAAGUGUUUAUGACAUGACUAAAAAAGUGUUUAUGUGCUUACUCGCGUGUCCGUGACCACUCCUCUACACUUUCCCAAUCGCUUUCUGACACAUGAAUCAAUGGACGAUCUGCAUCUUCUGACUGUGUCGGAUCGUAAUCAGCUACAAAUGAAGAUUGAGAAAUUUUGUUAAGUGCUUUUGCGAGUAAAGCGUCUUCUGGAUCCAUUUCCAGGUCGAAAUCCAUUUUUUGACUGAGAAGCACGUCAUGGAGUUCUGUGUUUCCAUCUUUCUGAUAAUGUACAAAAUAGUUCUUGUAUUAUACGAAGAGAAAAAAAAGUGGAACUUAGGAAAUUAACAACAUGUGUGAGACAAACAUAUUACAUUAUUAACAUGACAUAUUUCAAGUUUACCAAAGUCUACAUAACAAAAUAGAUUUUUCAAGCGUAGUUUCUAAACACACAUAUUACAUUUUAAAAAUAAUACUACCACACACACAAAUCUAACAACUACAUUAUCUUUUAUAUUAUACAGAACACAUCGUAGCCUAAAAAAAAGACAUUAUUUUUGAUUCUAGGGCAUCAGGUCUUAGUAUUUCUGCACUUCCUUACCUUUUUGGAAGGGUGCGAAGUCUCCCCAAUGCUUAGAAUAGCACCUGCUGACCUUGUUAUGGAUUUGGAGGCGGCAAUUGUUGACGCUUUAGCAGCUAAAGGGAUGACACUGGUAGAUGUUUUUGCCGGUAAAGAAAUGUCACCAGCUGUGCCUGCGAGUGUGAAAAAUAAAUGCAAUGAGAUUUUUGCAUAUAAAGCAAUGAAAUAAUUUGCAAAUGUGUGAAACGUACCAGAUAGUGAUUUUGCUGCAAAGAUGGGAACAUCAUUGGUAUAUGUUUUUGCCGGUAAAGGAACGUCAACGGCUGUGCCUGCGAGUGUGAAAAAUAAAUGCAAUGAGAUUUUUGCAUAUAAAGCAAUGAAAUAAUUUGCAAAGGUGUGAAACGUACCAUAUAGUGAUUUUGCUGCAAAUAUGGGAACAUCAUUGGUAGAUGUUUUUGCCGGUAAAGGAACGUCACCGGCUGUGCCUGCGAGUUUGAAAAAUAAAUGCAAUGAGAUUUUUGCAUAUAAAGCAAUGAAAUAAUUUGCAAAUGUGUGAAACGUACCAGAUAGUGAUUUUGCUGCGGUGAGAGUAGCAGUAGUGAAUCCACCUGCUUGGAUGGGUUCGAUAAUCUUCGACUCAAGCAUCUCCACUAUGUUUUCCAUUUUCUUCUCCAAUAGCUCUACUCGACUAUCAAUCUUCAUCUGAAGUCUCUCCUCCAAAGCUUUUAACGAGGUCUGCAAAAGUCCUUGGAUAAAAGACUUAAAGUCCUCAUCGAUGGCUUUCGCAGCUGAUCGCUCGCACAUCAUCUUCUGCUUCCGUGUUUCUGCACCAGGUUCAGCGACCCUUUUCUUUCCUCGACUCAAACCUGCAACUGAGCUACCUACAGCAGGUGGUGUCCUGAAUUGGCUUUCUUCUGCGACAUUCUCAUUCUCUUCAUCUGUUGCUUUCUAAAUCUUGUCAAGAGUUGCAGGUAUGGCUUCUUCUACCGCCCAAUUAUGGUGACUCCAAUCUAUUCCAUCAUUGAUCAUUGUUUUAAGAAGAUCCACUCUUGCGUCAGCCAUUUCAUUAGGCCAUACAAAGUCCAAAGAAUCAACGACAUCAUCAUUCCCAGUGGAAGAGAUAUAGUGAUAGAGCUUCUCCUGUAAAAAAAAUGGGACAAUUAGCAUGGAAAUACAACAAAGCAAAAAAAAAAAAAGCUAAAGAAUCAGAAAUCACCUUCGUGCAAAACGUAUGUUCGAUAUGCUUAAUAUCUGAAAUUUUCACAUAGCUAAUGCCGUUCCACUUAAAGCAUCUAGCAACACCAGCGAUCACAUCGUCCAAUCUUGAAGACAGCAUAUAUCCGAGAACGGGAAUUGCCUCCAUGAUCCAGAUUUGAAAAGCUAUUGAGAAGCCAUUCAGUGCAUAGCCUGUAGAUUGCGUCAAUUUCACACGAACUUUCUUGAUACUCUGCACUAGAAAAUCAAACGCUACACGUCCCCAUGGGUACUUCCGUAGCUUCUCCAGAUCCAUAACAAGAAUGAUAUAUUCUUUUGGGAUAUUAAUGGUCUUGCUCUUUGCCAUUACCAGAGAAGCAAUAACAUACAAGUACACUAACCGCAACCUGUCUUCACGCAUCCAUUUGUUGACACACCCAAGAUACUCAGUUUCUAUGUUAGCCAAAGUAAUUCCACGUUUGCUUCUCAACAACUUACUCCAGAACCCGCCAUCAUCAACCCAAUCACUGAAAUCACAAGUCUUAUCGUCUUCCGUGUUCAGUCCAGUAAUCGCAUGAAAUUCUUGCAGAGAAAAUCGAAGAGGUCUCCCCGCAAACACGAACCAUAGCUUGUGUUUCUUGUCAGUGAUGAGCUCCUUACACAGAAAGCUAUGGAUUAGUCGCCCUGAAAAUCCCAUGUCGUUCUCGAUAAUCGACAAAACAGGUCCAAAGACAGGGUCUAGCAGAACUCUUUUGUAUUCUUCUGAAAGUGCUUUCUUAACGGGGUCCAUUGUGUUAAGAAUGCAUCGAUUAUUGAUCUUGUCAAUAUCAUUCACAAAACCAGGCUCGAAAAGCAGUUUCGGAAGUUCCUUGUCCAUACCUACGAAUAAAAACAAAAAAGACAUGGCAAAAAAUUUGGCUUCAACUUCAUCACGACAAAUAAUUAAACUACCGGUAUAUUAAUUAAAGCAUAUAGUAUAUGGGUUUAACAGUGUCAUUUUUUCUUUUAUAUAUUGAAUAUGAACUUCUUUAACAAAAGCAAAAUACUAAUCGUUCCAAUAUUUGUACGCAAAGACACAAACAAAACCAAGUUCAUCGUUAUACAAUAUUUAAUACAGAUUCCCUUUCAAAGUUUGAAAUCUUCAAAGAUAUGCUCUGUCUCAGCUAAUUAGUUCAUUGUAUUUGUAAUCAAAUGAUGGCUUUGAUUGAUAACUUAGUUUUCUGCAGCGGUUAAGGUUAUACCGUUAAUUUAGUGAGCAAUCACAUAUAAUAUAAAAUUUUAUGUAUCGAAAUGAAUACUACAAUUAAUUAUUCUGUAUACCGUUAGCUUAUACAUAGAGGAAUGGUUUAUAGAUGACAUUCAAACUUCCAUAAGACAAUGAUGUAAUCUAAUCGGUCAGAACUGGUGUUCGACAAAUACAUUGUUACCUAAAGCCAAAAAAAAAAGUAGCUCAAGGUGCCUAACACGUCAAAGUUGAAACUUAUUCAAGCUGAUAACGAAUUAAUUUGAUGAGGUCAUGUUUUGACAUUACAGACAAGAAUAAGAAGCAAGAGUAAAGUAAAACAACUAGUACGUAGACUAUACAGACAUCCGUAAAGACACUAACUACAGAGCUCGACAUUCUUCCCAGACAAAUCUAUAAGUUUAGGCACAAGAAUGGAUCUCAGAACGUACCUGCUUUACAAUGUGCUUCCUAACUUGUUUAUGGUAAUCUGGAUUGCGGAAAAGGUGAUCCGCUAAAGCUUGGAACUGGCAAACGAGUAUAUCAUAUGAGAACAAACAUUUUAAAGUUUCAAAACUUUGAACAAACAACAACAAAAUAAACAGAGAGCAAAGACAAAUGGCAAAACAAAGAGCUUAGCGAAAAAAAAGAGCAUAGCGACAACAACAAAAUCAACAGAGAGCAAAGAUAAAUGGCAAAACAAAGAGCUUAGCAAAAAAAAUGGCAAAACUAAGACAUCAGUUUACUUCACAUGGUGAAAUCAACAAGCUAUUGUGAUCAAAACUUCUAUAGAAACCCAGAAAAAGCAUGAUGAGAAAACUUCAAAUAGCUAAUGCAUGUCAACCAUAUAAGCGAUAAAACACAGUAGAAGAAUAUAUAGCCAAAUGAGAAAGGAAGUUGUUUACGACUAUUGCGACGGAAACGACGGAGAACGACUAUGAUGGAUUCACGGCAGAUAAAGACAUGCAAGCUGAUUAUCAAGGUGGAGAAAGAGUUUGGAAUAUAGAUGCCACUGAAUCUGCCUACAAUGGAACAAAAACCAAAUAAUAUUAGAAAUCACAGAAUCAAAAUUAAAAAACUCCAUAUUCGAAAUUAGCAAUUCUAGCAUUGAAAAUUGGAUAACCCAGAAUAAUGCAUGCAGCUAGAAUUGAAAUUUACAAUCAUAUAUGCGAAACUAAUCGAAAUUAGACUCAAACAAGUAACAGAAACUGUAAAUAAAAAAAACCUCCCCAAAUCAAUUGAGUAUUUGUAAACCCUAAAUUCGAAACUGAAUGAUAACGAAGAAGACAGGCGAUGGAGAAAAACAGUCUAUAUACUGUUUAGAUUGUGUCUUUACCUGAAUUUGAUUUUCCGGUGAAAACAUCGAUUGUGGGAAGAGUCUGUGUUGAAGAUGUUGAUGGAGGAGAAAGAGAAUAUGUAGAUGGCUAUGUACAGAUAUUUUUUAAAUAUAAAUUUUUUUAAUAUAAAUAUUUAGUUAAUUAAAUAAUUCAAAAUUAAUGGGCAUAAUGGAAAAAAAAAUUAAUAAAACAUUAUAAGAACAAAUGUUUUCUAGAAACCAUUAAGAGGACAAAUUGUAAUUCAAUUUGCAUUAUAAAACCAAUUCUCCCUUAAAGAAUUGGCGGAUAGUAUGAGUUGUGAAUGUAUGAAUUGCAUAAUUUAGCUAUACCUGUUGAUGCUUGAUACUUAUAUGAUAUAUUAUAUUUAAGCGUUAUUAUAUUCUAUAGCAAAUGCUUCUACGAACUGAAUUUUAUUUUUGUGCAAUGAGAAGGGAAUAAAAAACUAAAAUCUUAAUUUACUGCAAAUUUUAUGGAAAAUAGAAUUUCAUAGAGCGGGUCAUUUGAUGCAGGAGUAUGCAAUUGAUUACAUCAUAAAGUAAGACAUAAACAAUAGAGUACAUUUGUGAAUGGACAAUAACAUAGUCAAAGUUGUAAAACAACGAAUCAGUAAUAGGAAAGAGAAGAGAAUAGGACAACUUCAAACCAUUUCAUGAGGAAGUGCUUUGACGCAGGUUAUUUGUUUGUCUGGAUUGUUGCAGUGGAUUCAAACCAUACUUGCAAGUUUGACCUCAGAAUAUGAACUAAAUGUUAAAUAUGGGUUUAUUUGGGAAUCUUGUAUUUAUAGAAAUUGUAAUUACUCCUUUGAUUUCUAGCCGUUGUAGGAUCUUGUAAUUAUGCUUUCUCUUCUUCUUCUAUCUUCUUCUUCUAUAUAAGAAGAACCCAUGUAUUAUAUUUUGUAAGAUUGAAUAAAUACUUUUUACAUGGUAUCAGAGCAAAGUAUGAUCCUAAUGAUUUUUUGAUUCUUUUUCUUUUAUUCUGAAACUAUUUUUUUUUUCUUUUUCCCAGCCAAAUUACCCUUCGAAAUUUUGAAACCCGAUAGAAGCGUAAAGCUUACAAUUUCUGUUUUGACUCUUAUAUAAGCUUUUAUUUUGAAACGAAAACAUAUUAUUAUUAUUAUUCUCUUUCUUGGAGACGAAAAUUUCUCCUUGGUGAUAUCGAAAAAAAAAAAAAAAACUAGAACCUUUUACCACAAAAGUUUUGUGUGUGUUUCAUAUAUUCUUCGUAAUUUACACAAAAAGGAUUUCUUUGAUCUUGAGCAUCAGUUUCAGAUUGAAUUAUUAUUUUUAUUGACCGACUCUGAAAUUUUGAGGAGACGAAGAGAUCUGGAAUUUCAAGGAAUUGAAACUCACGAUGGCAAGGGCAGAAGAUGGGUUCGUCUCAGGCGAUAUAUAAUUUAAGACCCAGCUCAGUGAUUUGAACUCUCACAAUGGUAUAACACUUCAUUCCAGAGGAACCCAGCCUCAAACGACAUAUAAUCAUGAUCCAGGUAAUUGUGUUCCUUAUGAGAGGCAUUGUCUUGGAGAAUUAAUGCGUGAUGCCGAACCGGUAAACGGAAAUUGCAUGAUUGCAAAUAAACUAUCUCCUACUACUUCUCCUACAAAUACAUGGAUUCUUGAUUCUGGAGCUACUGACCAUAUGACCUUUGACGUUAAUGAUUUUUCUAAACGUACAAAACCUCGUCGAAAUUUUAUUGCUAAUGCUAAUGGUGGUUUAUCGCAGGUUACCGGGGCGGGCACUGUCAAUAUUUCUCCGUCCCUAGAACUUUCUCAUACUCUUCUUAUCCCGUCUUUAAGUCAUAAAUUAAUCUCUAUCAGUCAGAUUACAAGAGAAUUAAACUGCUUUGCCCUCAUAUAUCCUAACUUUUGUUUUCUCCAGGAUAUAUAUUCUAAGGAGAUAAUUGGACGUGGUACUGAGAGAGAUGGAUUAUAUUAUGUGGAUGAUCUCAAGGCUGGACGUAGUCACUUGGCUCAUGGUUCUAUAGAACGACAAAUUUGGUUAUGGCACCGACGGUUAGGACAUCCUUCAUUUUCAUAUAUGAAACACUUAUUCCCUACCUUCUUUCGACAUUUAAAUAUUGAUACCCUUACGUGUGAAACUUGCAUCAUUGCAAAGAAUCAUAGGACUCAUUUUUCGCCAAGUUUAACUAAGACUAAUGUCCCUUUCAUGAUCAUUCAUUCUGAUGUUUGGGGUCCAGCACCUGUUUCUAGCUUAUCUGGAUAUCGAUGGUUUGUAACAUUUAUUGACGAUUGUACUCGAAUGACUUGGCUUUAUGUUUUAAAACAUAAGUCUGAGGUUUUUAAUGAUUUUAAAGUGUUUCAUAGCAUGAUUAAAAACCAGUUUAAUACUACUAUUAAAGUUUUAAGAUCUGAUAAUGGUGGAGAAUUUCUUAGUAAGGUUUUUCAGGAUUAUUGCUCAAGCCUUGGAAUAAUUCACGAGACAACAUGCCCUCAUACACCGCAGCAAAAGGGAGUCGCUGAGCGUAAAAAUCGCCAUAUCUUAGAGAUGACUCGCUCUUUAAUGCUUGAAGCUCAUAUAUCAUCAUCUUUUUGGGCUGAGGCAGUCACUACAGCGGUCUACCUAAUGAAUCGGUUACCAUCUCGGGUACUUCAAUUUAAAUCUCCCCUUGAUUGUUUAUCAUCAUACCACUCUCUCCCAUCAAUAUUAAUGCUACCACCAAGAGUAUUUGGUUGUGUUGUUUUCGUUUAUGUUCAUAAGCAUCAGAGAGGAAAACUGGAUCCGUGUGCCAUUCGGUGUGUGUUCGUCGGGUACGGAGUACAUCAAAAGGGUUAUCGGUGUUUUGACCCUAAAACUCGGCGGCUAUACACCUCCAUGGACGUCACAUUUGUUGAGACAGACCUGUACUACUCACCCACUUCUUCACUUCAGAAAGAGAACAAUGACGAAGAUUCAAGUUGGUUAUCUUAUGACUGGCCCAGAAGUGAAGGAAAUGACACAUUAAUAAUGGAAGAACAGAUCGAACCUACCCAACUUAUCUCAGAGCCUAUGUUGGUUGACCAAGAUCAUGAAAUCAGAAUAGAAGACACAAUGGAAAAGAACACAGAAGCAGGACCUAGUAAUUCACAUGAGGCAGAACUACAAAAUAAUUUUGAAGAUUGUCAUAUUCAGGUGGUUCAUGGAUCAAGUGACACUGGUGUAGAAGAUAUUGGUGAAAGUUCCAACCUUGACACCAUUGAUGAUCAACCAGAUUCAAACCAUGAUGUUGAAGCUAGUGACAACGUUGACCAAAACCAAACACAGGUAAACAUAUCUCCUCUUGCACAUAAGCAUGAAAAUCUAAACUCUGGUUAUGUGUUACCUAAUAGGUCGACGAGAGGAAAGGCACCGAACCGGUACUCACCUGAUGUGGAGAACAGAAAAUCAAAAUAUCCAGUGGCAAACUAUGUUUCUGGAAAAUUGUCUGAGCCGUUGAGAUCUUUUACAAGAAAUCUAUCAGAUCAUCAAAUCCCGAAAGACAUGCAUGAGGCUUUGCUGGAUCCAAAGUGGACUGCAGCCGUACAAGAAGAAAUGGCAUCGUUGCUUAAGAAUGAAACGUGGAUACUGGAUGAGCUUCCACGGAAUAAGAAAACAGUGGGCUGCAGAUGGGUGUUCACAAUCAAAUACAAAGCUGAUGGAUCAAUAGAGAGAUACAAGGCAAGGUUGGUAGCAAAAGGGUAUACUCAAACCUAUGGGGUCGACUAUGAUGAGACGUUUUCACCGGUGGCAAAGCUGAGCACAGUACGGGUUCUUUUAUCAUUGGCUGCUAACUUGGAUUGGCCGUUGCACCAAUUCGACGUAAAGAAUGCAUUCUUACAUGGAGAGUUAAUGGAGAAUUAGAGGAAGAGGUGUACAUGGAUCUUCCACCAGGUUAUGAAGUUAACACGAGUUCGUCGGUGGUAUGCAAACUCAAAAAGGCAAUAUAUGGUCUAAAACAAUCACCAAGGGCGUGGUUUGGAAGAUUUACAAGCUUCAUGAAAAAAUAUGGAUAUCGUCAGUGCAAUUCGGACCACACGUUGUUCUUUAAAAGAAAUAACGGUAAAAUCACACUUUUGCUUAUAUAUGUUGAUGAUAUGAUCAUUUCAGGUGAUGAUGUUGAGGAGAUCACAAAGCUCCAAAGUGCACUAGAUAGUGAAUUUGAGAUGAAAAAUCUUGGAGGCUUGAAAUACUUCUUGGGAAUCGAGGUAGCAAGAUCAAAACAAGGAAUUUUUAUAUCACAAAGAAAAUAUGUUUUGGAUUUGCUUGAAGAAACAGGGAUGCUUGAUUGCAAACCAGCGGACACACCGAUGAUACAAAAUCUAAAGCUUCGAUUGGAUUCUGAUCAAAAACCAACAAACAAACAAAGGUAUCAAAGGCUAGUGGGAAAGUUAAUUUAUUUAUCUCACACUCGACCCGAUAUAGCUUUUGCAGUUAGUGUUGUGAGUCAGUUCAUGCAUCAGCCAAACGAAGAGCAUAUGGAUGCGGUUAUGAGGAUACUUUGCUAUUUGAAGUCAUCACCAGGAAAAGGUCUCAUAUUCACUAAACAUAGUCAUCUGGAUGUCGAAGGGUACACAGACGCAGAUUGGGCCGGAGACAUCAAUGAUCGAAAGUCAACUGCAGGGUAUUUCACUUUUGUAGGCGGGAAUCUUGUGAGUUGGAGAAGUAAAAAACAGAAAGUGGUUUCACUUUCAAGUACCGAAGCAGAGUUUCGAGCUAUGGAAAAAGGAAUACGUGAGCUUUUGUGGUUAAGAAAUCUUUUGACAGAAAUUGGUUUUGCUCCAUCACAGGAAAUGGUUCUGUUUUGCGACAACAAAUCUGCUAUUAACCUAGCACAUAAUCCUGUUCAACAUGAUCGGACUAAACACAUGGAGACAGAUCGACAUUUCAUUAGAGAAAAAAUUGACAAAAGGAUAAUUAAGCUUCCUUUUGUCAAAUCGGAGGAUCAGAUUGCAGACAUACUCACAAAAUAUCAGUAUGUGGCAAAAGUUUCCAUCAAAUGAUUUGCAAGUUGGGCAUGUGGGAUUUACAUGCACCAACAGAGGGUGUUAAAUAUGGGUUUAUUUGGGAAUCUUGUAUUUAUAGAAAUUGUAAUUACUCCUUUGAUUUCUAGCCGUUGUAGGAUCUUGUAAUUAUGCUUUCUCUUCUUCUUCUAUCUUCUUCUUCUAUAUAAGAAGAACCCAUGUAUUAUAUUUUGUAAGAUUGAAUAAAUACUUUUUACACUAAAUUGACUAGUUGAUGCUCGUUAUCAUCAGAAUUAUCUGAAUCCGACUGAAUAACAGCAUUCGUAGAUGCGAUAUCAUCAUAUUCUCCAUCCGAAACAAUAUUUCCCCUAGUUCAACAACAUUAGUACUUACAUUUUGUACUAGGUGUUGUUUUCUAUAGCAGCGAAUUAUUAAAUAAGUAUGUAAACCGACACCUAAAACUAAUCCUACACUAAACAUUGCAUAACCCAGAUACAAAAUAACCAGAUUUUUCAGUAUCUAGGUUAUGCAACACAAAUUUGUUAUUAUAGAAAUCAAAGUCUAGUACAAAAUGCAAAUACUAGUGUUGUUGAAUCGGGAGAAUACAGUUGAGAAACCUUAAAUACAUUUUUACAAUGGAAUAAAAAUUUAAAAUAAAAAGAAAAUAAUUAAUAAUAAAAAUAAACAUAACAUAUGAAAAAAAGAGCAAUCUAAAAUAAUUAUAACUAUUUUCAUGUUUUAAUUUAUAUUCUCAUUUUUACGGAAAAUAAUAGUAAAUAUAUAUGACCACUUUUCUUAAAUGCCUUCAAAACAAGUUUUUGGGGUAAAUUAUAGGCUUAAAACUUGAUAUACAUAUCAUUAUUUUUUUAAAAAAACUUGACAUUCAUAAUAGUUAUGAAUGUCUUUCUGAAUUAAUAAAAAGCCUUCUUUAAUUCAUAAAAAGUAUUUUUAAUAUUAUAAUAUAGAGCCGCAGGUGCGCUAAGCUUCACCGCCAUUCUUAUCCAUGUCUUGUUAAAAUUGAAUGCCAAGCACAAUAGAACUAAUAUUAUGAAACUUUCUAAUCUUUUUUUUUCUUCUUGAAAUUGUCUUUAGAGUUCUUAUGGAUGACUAUAAAGAAACCGAAGCCAUUGAAGAGCUAUCAAAAGCCAUAGCCUUUAAACCUGACCUCCAACUGUUACACCUACGAGCAUCAUUCUUCGAUUCAAUGCGAGAACCUGCAGUUGCUAUCAUAGACUGUGAAGCAGCACUGAGUCUUGAUCCAAACCACACAGAUACCAUCGACCUCUAUCGCAAAGCAAGUGAACCACAAUCAUAGACAAACCCAUCUGUAUAUCUUUUCUUCCUUUUUACACUAUGGCGAGAGCAUCUUUCCUCUGAAACCACAGAUAACGGUAUUCUUCGUUGCCGUUUCAUAUCCUUUCUGGAACAUUCCAGUGGAAAACUAAGCUUGGUUUCUUUGUGAUCAAGAAGUUUUGAUAGAAGGAACUGGGGACAAACCAAAUGAGCUGCAACAUAGAAUGUAAAUAUAAACUUUAUAAUUCGGGGUUUUGGGUUUUAUGUGAUCUAUUCAGGUUUGAUGAGGGUAAUAUGUAAGUAGAGCAGGGUGUUUUUUGGACACAAAAGGAACACGGAGAAAGAAUACCUCUGGUGAAACUGGACUUCUUGUUCUGUCCUUUUUUUUUAUAUGUUUCACACAAAAGUACUUUGUGUUUCUUCUUUUCUUCUCUCUUUAUUCUUCUAAGAGCAUUAGAUUAUGUAAAGUGGGUUUUCUCAUUUUAUUUUUAAAUUCCAAAUCUCUCUGAUCCAAUUGUGACUUCCAAAGUUGAGGGAUUCUUUGUUGAUCAAAUUAACCAGGUUUCUGCAAUCUUCUUCGAAAAUGAUUUUUCUAAGACCUCUUGACCAACAAUAUUGCAUGGCCAUAGAAUUGCUUGGGCUUCACUCUCUAGUGGCGUUUGUGCUGCAGUACUUUGAGCUUGUCCUGCUCCUUUGAAGACUCCAUUUUCAUCUCUUAGAAUCCAUCCAGCUUUUGCGUUAUUCCUUUCUUUAAUAUAAGAUCCGUCAUAGUUGCAUUUUAUCCAUCCUUCUUUAGGUCGCAGCCAUCGAUGAUGUCUUGUGAUCGGGUUUGAAUUAUGAUGAGGAUCUGACUGGUUAUAUCUGUCGAUGAGAUGAUGGACGUCUAACCAAUCUUUUGCAUCACUCUCAGCUAACUUGAGUGUUGUUAUCCAAGGAUAUAUUACGGCUUUUCCAUAUGCGCCAAAGUAUCCACAGAGCAUAUUGAUGAACUCUAUGCGGCAUUAGAGUACUUCUCCUGAGUAUAGCUUCCAGCCUUGCCUCAAAAGUUAACACCAUGUUGAUUACACCUGUAUUUGGAAAUCUUGAAGCCGUCCAGAUAUGCUGUGCAUAAUCGCAUUAAAAAAAAAAAAAAAUAAUUGGCUGACUCCUCUACAAGAAGACACCGUGGACACAGAGAAUCUCUUGUAACAUGUAUCUUUUAGAGAUUUUCACCAAUUGGAAUGGCAUUUGAAACCACUCUCCAAAAAAAGUGCUUUAUCUUCGGAGCAAUGUAGAGCUUCCAUAUUAGUUACUUCAGAUUUGCAUUGCCAGAUGGUGGACGUAUUGGCCUUUGGUGAUUAUGAGCUGCCAACCAGUAAGCAGAUAUUACUAUAUAGAGACCCGUUUUAUUGUAACCAGUAAGCAGUAAUGAUCUCUGCAUCUUGAGUUUACUCGUAAAGAUAGAAUGAUCUCUGCAUCUUCAUCCGCUACCAAUCUUCUAAUUUCUCUUUCAUUCCAACCUGACCGAUCAGCAAACAUAUCCAAGCCUACAUGUAAAUCUUUUUUUUUUUUUACAUUAUUUUAUUGGAAAUAUCUAGAUCAUCUUAUAUAAACAUUUUAAAUAAAUUGUAAUAUAAAAAAAGAUUAUAUUGUACUACAGUCAUGUAGUUACCUUAUACUAAUGCUGUGAUUAUAACUCAUGCAAUUUAUUAAAUAAUUUAUUAACGAUUCGAUUUUUAUAUUAAUGUGAUGUGCAGUUUGCAACAAUCGAAUCUGUUUUGGAUGAGAGCAUCUAUCGAGGAGUAGAAGCUUUGAUAAGUUUUCAUAACGUAACAGUAAAAAUCAAAUUUGGUUAGAAAAUGAACCUCAUAAUCAACACAAUAGCAUCCAACUUGGUUGGGCUGUAAGUUAUUACCAAACUUAUAAAACAAAAUGUACAUACAUAUAGAUAAAGAUAAAAAUUAUAUUUACGGAUAUAUAUUUAAUGAAAAUUUCAUUUGAAACUGUAGAAUAAAUACGAGAGUUUAAUACUUUUUUUUGGUUGAACAAAGAAUAAUAGCAACUUAUGUUUUUAAAUCUACGCAGGUUUCAUUAUGUAUUCUAUAAUUUUAUAUGUAGGUACAUCCAAGAUUGUAUGGUGACACUUUCACGCGAUUUACAAUAUAUUGGACCGUGAGUAAUAAAUUAUUUCUUAAUUAUAGUUCUUAAAUAUUAAUUAUUUUUUAAUUAUAUUUCUUCAUACAUGGCAAACCAAUAAACAAAUCGUGAUUAUUUUAAAAAGAAAGCCGAACCAUUGGUUUGUUGUCUUUACUACUUUUAUCCCUGCAUAAUAUUUUGCCUUCUAUGUCUUAUUAAAUUAUCAGGCAGAUGCCUACAAAAAUAUGGGUUGCUAUAAUACCAAAUGUUCUGGCUUUGUCAUUGUAUCUCGAAUUCCUUGGAUUGGAAUAACGUUUUCUAGAACCUCUGUUUAUGGUGUUCUCCAACACAUCAGAUCGAUCUCUGCUUCUUUCUCCCUUGUUUACAACACUUCGAUAGUAUGAGUAGUAGAGCCGUAAAAAAAAAAAAUUAUAAACCUAGUAUAUGAGAAAUAAAUAAAUAAAACACCAUUUGAUGAAUUGGAUUUUACGUACAAAAAUAAACUAACAGUAACAUAGUCGAAGUUGUAGAGCAACAAAUUAAUCAUCUCAUAAGGAAGUGCUUUGACGCAGUUGUUGCAGUGGAUUCACGCGUGCGAUCGAUACUUGCAAGCUUUGAUCUGAUGAUAGUAAACAAAAAACUAAAACAUUUAUUUUCUAGAAAUCUUGAUUAAUAGCAAACAAAAAAACAGAACUGGACGGUUCAAACGAAUCCUUUUAUUUAAAAUCUAAUAGAACCAUUUUAAAUUGUGAACACUUAAACUAAACUAAAGUUCUUCCACAAAUUGGACAAGAAUUAUGACGCUAUUGACUAAGACAAUACAAAUGGAAUACAUGUCCACAUGGCGUAUUUGCCAACCGAACAUUCCACUCAAAUUGACCAAAGCAUAUUGGACACCCAUCCUCCCUUGUCCCAUGUAUAAAAAUAAAGUUUUCUAAAAAGUACAGGAGCUAACUGUACUUGUUGAUUCUCGUUUUCAGAAUUCUCAGAAUCUGAGUUCAAAAUGACAUCUGUGGAUGUGUUAUCAUCAUCAGACUCAUUAUCCGCAAUUGGAUUCCCGUUCUAUAGACUCAUUGUCCGGAAUUGAAUUCCCGCCUAAUUCAACCCCAACCUCUUCUCUAGUUUGAUUACUUAAGGAAUGUCUUACUAUUCUAAAUAGGUAAAAACAAACGACAGCUAUGAAUAAGCAUAGAGCUACAAUAAGAAACACAUAUCCUACAAUCAAUAACCUCGCGUUGCCUUGUGAAGUAUCAUUACCAUACCUAGACAUUAUUAUGAGAGGAAAAAUGGCCAAAAUCUAGCUGAACUAAAUUUCGUGGGCCAAAAAAAAUCUGUACUAAAAUACAAGGCCAAAACCUAUUUGAGUGGUAAAACAAUUUGAAUUUCCUAUCUGUUCUUAUUAAAUGGUGCCAAAAACUACCGUGACCAGGAAACCGUUAGUCAACAUUAACACUCUGCUGAGGUGGAUACCAUGUCAUUCAUUGAUGUGGCAACAGUGACACAAAACGACGUCGUUUAACAAGUUUCAGACAAAAAAAUUCACUAAACAAAACGACGUCAUUUUGUUUUGGGGGAAAAUUAAAAUUCCCAAAUCGAAGAUCAGAUCAGUUUAGGGUUCUGUGUAGUCUUCUUCUCCGAUAUACUGUGUUUGAGUGAGCUAUAAUGGAAAUUCAAGGAAGAGGGUUCCCUAAGAGAUGUAGGUGCGGAGAAACGGUUGUCAUGAAGACGUCUGGUACUGCUAAGAACCCUGGAAGACUGUUUCAUGCUUGUCCACACAGAAAGGAAGGAGUAAGUAAACAUAUUUUCGGAUUUGAGCAUUGACAUGUGUUUGAAAACAGUUUUUAUUGUCGAUUGAGUUAUGUUUGUAUAUAUAACAGGAUAAUUGGUAUCAUACAUUCAAAUGGACUGAUACAUGUAUGGUUGAAGAGCUUGAGGACUUGAUAGACAAAGUCGAAAAUAUUGAAGAGAGUUCAAUGACAUUGCAGAAGGGCUUCAAUGUUUGCGAGUCCGAGAUUGACACAUUGGCUAUGGAGACUCAUAUGUGCAAGGCUGUGGUUGCAAAAGAAGUGGGCGAUCUCAAAAUGCAGCUCUGUAGCUUGAAGAACCUGGUCGGAUUUGGUUUUGCGAUGUGGUUGGUGUAUGUGUUUCUGUUUUAAUGUUGAUGUUGUUAAGAACCAUUUGCUUUCUCUCUUGUAUGUGAGUCUAGAAUCUAUGUAAGUGUUUAAUCAAUGUUGUUGUUAUUGUUGUUGAAACUGAAUAUUAGAACAUGAAUGAAAUAGAAGGAGCAUUUUCUUAAGCUUAAAGGGAGCACAAUUUUCUGAGCAUAAUGGUUACAAAAACAGUCACAAAACAAAGAUCUAGAAUCCAAACAAAGUACAUUAUCAAAUCCAACAAAAUCAAGUUUAAAUCAUGACAAAAAAAACAGAGAAAAUGAGGUCAUGAUUUAGGUCCUAAUCUGAUGCCUUUUAUGCUCUUGUCUCAGUGCUCCACAAAGCUUUCAUCAUCUAUACUCCCUAACACCAAAAAAGAAGAAAACAUUAUCGAUAAAAGGUAUGAAAUGUCGAUAAAACAAGGUCACUUAACAGAUCAUAAAACUUACCUAUUCUUGAGUUGGCUGAGUUGGAAUCGGUCCAUCUCCAAAUGAUAGAGUCAUUGACUCAUAUCCAUCUUGUUCUGUCUCGGUGGCCUCAUUUCCAUCUUCCACUUGCCUCUUCUUUCUUGCAUUUGAUCUUCUAUUUUUGCCUCCAUCCGCUACCAUAUUCUGACAUUUUGUUGCAUUGUGACCAGCUUCACCACAACGACCACCAACCCUUUUAUCUCUGGAUGCUUUCUUUUUCGAUGGAGACUCAUGUCUUGCCUUCUUCCUCUUCGGCUUUGGCUUUCUUCCAACUCUGUUCUCAAUUUCUUCAACUAAACUUGGUGGUGGCAGCACUUUAGAUCCUGAUUUUUUCCAAAAUAACAUACCGUUGACAGAGUUGAUUGAGUAAGAGUAAAUUUGCUGCUGACGGAAAUUCAGAUACCAAUGAGAGAUGUAAUCCUCCUGAUUCAGUUUCCUCUCAGCAAUGAUACGAAGGGCAUGACGGCAAGGAAUGCCACUCAUGUCCCAUCUCCUACACGCACAUGUCCUCAGUCUCAUGUUGACACUGUAACUUAAACCAGACUCACGCACCUCAUCUCUCGAAUUUGCUCCGGGAACCAUCACACAAUACUUGAGUUUCUUCUGCUCUUCCUCUAUCCACUCUACUGCCCUAACCGUGAAUCUUCCUUGAUGGCUCAGUGCUUCCUUCAUCCUCUGGUCUAUCCAAACCAUAGUUCUUCUCCUUAUUGUCUCUAACAUCUCCACCAUUGGCAUAUACCUUGCUGGAUAAAUGGCAUUGUUGAAUGACUCGGAGAUGUUGUUAUGCACGUCUACAUAAGAAGAUGCUGGUGAGAAAAAGGCGAGACUACAGUUCUGCGGAUUCUUCUCCAUCAUUGCUUCAUACAGUCGCAUAUCAUAGUUCUUUACCCUCUCAAUAUUGGCAUUGUAUUCAGGCAAGGUGAAGUUUUCAGCUACUCUCCAAAAUAAGGCCUUCAUGUCGCUUUGAUUGGGAAACAACUUCUUCAAAUUCCCAUAGAUGUGUCUUGCACACAUUCAAUGUUCAAUAUGGGGUAAUUCAUUUUGAACAGCAUUCAGCAGACCCUGAAAGAACAUUAGAUCAUUAUGAAACUAUACCCAAAAAAAUCAGGAAAGUAAAGCCAAAAAAAUCAGGAAACUAUACCUUUUGUCUAUCUGAAAUGAUUGUGUAAUGUUGACCUUGUUGUAGAUUGAAAUCAGCCUUCAGCAACUUGAAAAACCAAGUCCAGUUUUCUUCAUUCUCCACAUCAACUACCGCCCAAGCAAAUGGGUACAUACCAUUGUUAGCAUCCUUUCCCACCGCAGCUAAUAACUGACCCUUCAAGGUGCACUUCAUGAAGCAACCAUCAACCCCAAACACAGGCCGACACCACAUAGUCCAUGCAUUCUUCAUAGCUUCAAAGCAGACAUAGAACCUCCUAAAAAUCUCAUUUCCAUCAUCAUUAGGAACUGUCUCCAACACCACAGUAGACUCUUUGUUUUGUCUGCAAAACCAUAUAAGAACAACAAUGUCAUCUUCAAAAAUGCUUUUAAUAACUCUAAACAACAAACAUAUUCAAAAACUUACUCAAGAAUUGCAUUUCGGUAGUCUUUAAGCCUAGAAAACUGCUCCACAUAGUCACUGUUGAUGAUGGAGAUUGUUUUUUCCUUAGCUUUUUUACACUGGUCGUAGGUGGCAAUCAAGUUAUACCGUUGUUGAAUCUGGUCUUGGAUCAUCUUUGGCCUGUACUCAGGGUAAGUCCUUAUUUCAUCAAGAAACAGUUUCACGAUGACAGACUUCUUCAAUAUCUUGCUUCUUCCAUCCUUGAAGCAAGUGUGUACAUCUUCAUAUGUCUUCACCUUCCACUUUCCAAGAUGCUCCUCAUAGGAGCAGUAGAUCCUCCAAAGACAGCCAUCUUCAACCCCACAAAUAGCUCCACACUUUAUUUUUCCCCAAGGAUUUUGCUUGAUAUUCCAUCCUUCUUUCAGCGAAUAUUCCACCAAUGCAUCUUUGAAUUCUUCUAAGGUGUCAAACACCUGGUUCAAUUUCAGCUCACCAAUCCCUUUCUUCCAUCUCACCAGCUUUACACCAUCUUCUUCACCAUCAGAGUUGGGAGGCGUAUUAUGAUAAUCGAAAUUUGGAUCUUCAUCAACAAACCCAGCCACAUUUCUUUCAACCCUUAUCUCUUCUUCAGCAUGCUCAUAAAAGGCUUCUUCAACUGGAUGCUCCACUUCGUUAACCAUAAAAAUCUCCACCACACCACACCACUUAGCCGCUUCAACCAUAUUGUGAAAACUCUGCUCCCCAUUGCGCAACAACUUCCGCUGGUGUAAUAGUUCAAAAGGCAUCUUAUACCACACCUUUUGGCCAGCAAAUUCAUCUUCAGACAGCGUGGUGAAGAAGGCUUCAGGAUAACAAUCGAUGCUUCUACUUUCACCACCAAUGUAUGAUAUGUCUCCUGAAUGAUUCUUCACCCAAUGCCCACCACUAAAAACACUGAACGUCACUUCACAAUCAUUGAAGCUGAAAAGGAAAGCAUCGAAACCAUUGUUAAAACUCUCUCAGAUAUUAUAUCGAACACUUGGUUGUCUAAGUGAAAUCAAAUUCUCUCAAGAUGGAAAAUUUAUAAAACGAAAACUACAUAUGAUGUAAACCAAUUAAUAUGACUUUAUAUAGAACUCAAAUUACUUAUUGUUCUCAAAAUCGAAAGUUUUUAAAAUGUUUAAUGGUUUUUAAAUUCGCAACUUACCUCAUUUUGAAGCCAGGACAUCAAUCGACUCAAUUAUGGAUCGAUUCUUCCGCAGUAAUCUUCUUCGAUGCCUUUCCAACCCAGACUUCUUCUGAUCACAGUCCCAAUCCUAAAAUCCCCUUCUAUCGAACAAGAACAUCAAAUAAGAACCCUAAAUUGAUCUGAUCUUCGAUUUGGAAAUUUUAAUUUUCCCCCAAAACAAAACGACGUCGUUUUGUGUAGUGAAUUUUUUGUUUAGUGAAUUUUUUGUCCGAAACUUGUUAAACGACGUCGUUUUGUGUCACUUUUGCCAUUUCAAUGAAUGACAUGGCAUCCACCUCAGCAGACUGUUAAUGUUGACUAACGGUUUCCUGGUCAAGGUAGUUUUUGACCAGGAAACAAAACGACGUCGUUUUGUUUAGUGUGUCCGAAACUUGUUAAAUGACGUCGUUUUGUGUCACUUUUGCCACUUCAAUGAAUGACAUGGCAUCCACCUCAGCAGACUGUUAAUGUUGACUAACGGUUUCCUGGUCAAGGUAGUUUUUGGCACCAUUUAAUAAGAACAGAUAGGAAAUUCAAAUUUUUUUACCACUCAGAUAGGUUUUGGCCCUGUACUUUAGAACAGAUUUUUUUGGCCCACGAAAUUUAGUUCAGCUAGAUUUUGGCCAUUUUCCCUAUUAUGAGACUAGUAGUUUGAAAUGAUUGAUGAUUGAUGACUUAAUAUUGUAUCGAUACAAAACUAUAUCAAAUUUUUAUAUAAAAAAAAUUUGACUACAUAAUCUCCAUUUUGUAAAAAUGUAUUUAAGGUUUCCCAAAUAAAAACAUAGAAUAAGAAGAAAAUAACAAUAAAAAGCAUAACAUAUGAAAAAUAUGAGCAAAAUCUAACAAAAAUAAUUAUAAUUAUUUUCAUGCAUGUUAUAAUGUAUAUUCUCAUUUUUACGGCAAAUAAUAAUAUAUAUAUAUAUAUGAGCAAUUCUCUUAAAUAAACAAAUUUUUUGACCAAAUUUAUCACAUAGAGAAUUUGCUAGAAAAUCUAAAAUCUGGUCAAAAUUUGCUAAAUGGGAAAAACAGUAAAUUAGUGGGACAUUGUUCUGACACUUUGAAGGUGUUAUUACUCUUUACCCCAUCGUUCUUUUGUUACGAGUCUUCCUUCCCUGUAUGGAGUUUCUCUCUCAUCAUCUUUCUUCCGUUAGCAUAUAAGUUAUACAACUACAUAACUUGUUAUCAUACUACAUAAUUUGUUAUCUUGCUAACACUAAUCUUACAUCAGUUAUAUAUAUAUAAAUUAACGUCUAAUAUUGUAACUAAGUAGGUACAAAAUAUGUUAGAUUGAUAACAAUAAUGAGUUAUAUAGAUAAUCAAAGAUGUUAUUGGUAUACUUAGCAUAAUACAUAUAAAAUUAACGUCUAACAUUAUAAUUAACAAGGUAAAAAAUAUGUUAAAUUGAUAACAAUAAUGAAUUAUCUAGAUUAUUAUAGGUGUUAUUUUUUGUAAUUAGUGCGCUACAAAAACAGAUAACACUCUAUAUGUAUUGUUAGUAGUAUAACAAUAAAAUUAUAAGAGUAAUUCAAAUAGAUACAUAUUAUAUAUAUACGUUAGCUCGGCGGAUUUAAUGGCGACUGUCGCUGGAGGCGGCGGCGCGAUUGUUGUUUCUGGUGUAGGCGGAGGCGGUGCAGUGGUUGUAUCCAAAUCUAACAGAGGAGGUGAAAAUUGCGGCUGAGGAUUCGAAUUAGGCGUAGAAGGAGGUGGAGGCGGAGGCGGUUCGGGUUUACAAUCGGCACCAGCGGAUUCGAGAGAAUUGGAACAAACGGGUUUGGUGAUGAUGAAUCAGGUGAAGCGGGUGGGGAAGAUCGAAGAACAGGAGGAUCCGAGUUUGGAUACAGGUCAGGAUUAGGAAACAGAGUUAUAAAAGAGAAAGUGGAGGAAGAAGAAGAAGAAUAGUAGUCGUCGGAAGACAAGUCAGCGGAAGUGUUCGAAAGUUUAUAAAAUAUUAAAUUAAUAUCUCUAACAUAAUAUCGGUUACCAUAUUAUAAAUUAUACAAUGCUGCAAAAGUGCUUUGUCCCAUCUUGCAAAUUAUGAACAGCACUUGGGUUAUCUAGUGCAUUUACUUUUUAUCACACACGCUUGAAACUUGACAUCCAAACAUUUUUCAAGAAAAUUUGACACUUAUAACAUAUAUAGGAUUGUCUUUCUGAAUCAAUAAAAAGCCUUCUGUAAUUGAUAGAAAGUUUUUUUAAUUGUGUUCUAGUUUUAAUUUAUACCAUUAUCUGAUGUAUAUAAAUUUACAAAGUAAUUUUUCUAAUCUUUUGCCAAUAACAAUAAAAAAGUUUAAGUUGAUUAUUAAAAAAAGUCAAGAAAACUUCUUAAGUCAAGAAUGUUUCAUACAUAUUUAGGAUUGUUCUCCUGAAUUUAUAGAAAUGCUUCUGCAAUUAUAAAUGUUUUAGGAAAUAAUUCCUAAACAUUUUUACCAUACUCUUAAAACAUUUUACCAUACUACUAAAACUUCAAGGUAUCUUUCUGAAAUAUGUUAGGUCAUAGAAUUUCUCAGCGUGUGUGGUAUAGGUGUCACAAAAAGUAGAAUUCAUGAUAUUCAGAAGAAUUUUUCUAAAUAAUAUUGUAUUUUUCUGGAAUGAUUUGGUUGGACCCGGUUUAAUUUACCGUUUUAAUUUAACUCCGAAGAGUGAAGAUUGAACCCGAUAGCUGGACCCGGUUUUUUCCCGCAAAUUAACUAGUUUAUUUAUCGGCCCAAUUGAAUUUUGGGCAUUAAAAAUUAGGCUUCAGCAUAAUCGUAGAUAAGAAGAAGGUGAGUGGAGAAAGAACGGCUGCUUCAGCCGUCGGAGGAAUCAGAACGCAUUCGGAGAUUCACCUGCAAACAUGGUUUGUCAUCUUGUUCUCUCCUGUAGUCUCGUAUUCGCAAGCUGUUCGUUUUGGAUUAGUUUUUCUCUCAAAUGUAUGAUUCGUGCUCUAGCGAAGCCAAUCUGUUUUUUCUUUUUCUUGAUUUGGGGUUUCUGUUUUCUUAAAAGUGUCUCCUUGAGAAAAUGUUGUGCUCUAUGAGUGAAUUUGAAAUCGGGAGAUCGUUUUACUUGCUGUGCUAGCAUAGUGAUCAUCAAGUUGUAAUUUUACCUAUUGAACUUGAACUCAGUGUUACUGCUUCCUUGAGGAAUCAACGGCAUGUGUUCUUUUUGCGUACAGAUUUUCUGAUUUGGGAUUGGGUCUUUUUAGUGUUUCUAAAUUCAUUUCUCUCUAAGCUUGGGUUUUGGAUAUGUUAUUCUUCGUUACGUUUGUGUGCAUUCUAAGAAUUGGAGUUUUAAUGGUGGAGGGUACUGUUGAGGAAUGUGGCUUAACUUUUAUAUCGACCAUGUUUGCACAGGCAAGGGGAUUGAAGAAGCAUCUCAAGAGGCUUAAUGCCCCUAAGCAUUGGAUGCUCGACAAACUUGGUGGUGCCUUUGUAAGUCGCUUGCUUGAAGUCUUGUUGCCUUUUUCACUCGAUAUGUGUUUCUCGACACCUAUAACUCUCUUUUUCUCUCUCUGCUUAGGCCCCCAAACCAUCUUCUGGACCACACAAGUCGAGGGAGUGCCUUCCCCUUGUGCUUAUCAUCCGUAAUAGAUUGAAGUAUGCUCUCACAUACCGUGAGGUGAUUUCAAUCUUGAUGCAAAGACAUAUUCAAGUUGAUGGGAAAGUCAGGACUGACAAAACAUACCCUGCUGGUUUCAUGGGUAAGUCUUAAUAUUUGAUUUUGAUGCCCUUUUGUUUGUGUGUGAUUCUAUGAUCAGUGACUUAAAAGACAAUCUUAUGCAUUGUUAUUCUGUACAGAUGUUGUGUCUAUCCCCAAAACAAACGAAAACUUCCGUCUUCUGUAUGACACCAAGGGACGCUUCCGUCUCCACUCCAUCAGGGAUGAGGAAGCAAAGGUUUGGAUCUCCUGAAUCCCUUGUAUUGUCAUUUACUGAUUACAGUUUAGUGUUAAAAUUGUAUGUUAUCCAACAAGUUUCAUUGUUUGCUGUGUGCAGUUCAAGCUGUGCAAAGUGAGAUCUAUCCAGUUUGGUCAAAAGGGCAUUCCAUACCUGAACACCUACGAUGGUCGCACCAUCCGUUACCCCGACCCGCUUAUCAAGCCUAACGACACCAUCAAGCUCGACCUGGAGGAGAACAAGAUCGUGGAGUUCAUCAAGUUUGAUGUGGGAAAUGUUGUGAUGGUGACUGGAGGAAGAAACAGAGGGCGUGUUGGUGUGAUCAAGAACCGUGAGAAACA
rnacentral:lncRNA from 1 species